UGUAUCGUGGCUCAAUGGAAAGAGCACGGGCUUGGGAGCCAGAGGUCAUGGGUUCGAAUCCCAACUCUGCCA
rnacentral:tRNA from 1 species